GUAGAUGCGGUUGAGUCCUUGUCCUGGAAGUCGGUCAGCUGAAAAACAAUGUAAAUUCCCGGUUUUGAAGACUUAUUGCUUUCAAAUCUGCUGGCUUUUAAACGGAGGGGCCGGAAUAUCACAGAAGCCUUGGGUAACAGCAAAGUCAAAAGAAUGGUACUUUUAAAAAUGGUGCCUUUGCUGUAAGGAGCAGAGCAUAUUCAAAACUCAUGGGAGCAUCUCAGGUCUCAGGAGCUCUGUUUUCACUCUACUAAAUCUUGCAGCUGCACUCUUCUGGUCCGUGUUUGUUACGGCUCGAGCUGAGCUUUCACUCGCCGUCCACCACUGCUGCUGGCCGCCGUCGCAGACCCGCCACUGACUUCCAUCCCUCUGGAUGCGGCAGGGUGUCUGCUGUGCUCCUGAUCCAGUGAGGUGCCCAUUGCCCCUCCCGAUUGGGCUAAAGGCUUGCCAUUGUUCCUGCAUGGCUAAGUGCCUGGGUUCAACCUAAUCAAGCUGAACACUAGUCACUGGGUUCCACGCUUCUCUU
rnacentral:antisense_RNA from 1 species